UGCCAGACUCCUACGGGAGGCAGCAGUGGGGAAUAUUGCACAAUGGGGGAAACCCUGACGCAGCAACACCGCGUGAAUGUUAAGCCCUUCGGGGUGUAAAGUUCUGUCAAUAGGGACGAAUUUUGACUGUACCUAUAAAGGAAGCACCGGCUAACUACGUGCCAGCAGCCGCGGUAAUACGUAGGGGGCAAGCGUUAUCCGGAUUUACUGGGUGUAAAGGGUGCGCAGGUGGCAGGGCAAGUCAGAUGUGAAAGCCCGGGGCUCAACCCCGGUAUUGCAUUUGAAACUGUCCGGCUAGAGUGCAGGAGAGGUAAGCGGAAUUCCUAGUGUAGCGGUGAAAUGCGUAGAUAUUAGGAGGAACACCAGUGGCGAAGGCGGCUUACUGGACUGUAACUGACACUGAGGCACGAAAGCGUGGGGAGCAAACAGGAUUAGAUACCCUGGUAA
rnacentral:rRNA from 1 species